UACGAAGGGGGCUAGCGUUGUUCGGAAUUACUGGGCGUAAAGCGUGCGCAGGCGGCUUCUCAAGUCAGGGGUGAAAGCCCAGAGCUCAACUCUGGAACUGCCUUUGAGACUGAGAGGCUUGAGUACGGGAGAGGUGAGUGGAAUUCCCAGUGUAGAGGUGAAAUUCGUAGAUAUUCGGAAGAACACCAGUGGCGAAGGCGACUCACUGGCCCGUUACUGACGCUGAGGCGCGAAAGCGUGGGGAGCAAACAGG
rnacentral:rRNA from 1 species